GAUGAAGAACGUAGCGAAAUGCGAUAAGUAAUGUGAAUUGCAGAAUUCAGUGAAUCAUCGAAUCUUUGAACGCACAUUGCGCCCGCCAGUAUUCUGGCGGGCAUGCCUGUUCGAGCGUCAUUUCAACCAUCAAGCCCCAGGCUUGUGUUGGGGACCUGCGGCUGCCGCAGGCCCUGAAAACCAGUGGCGGGCUCGCUGUCACACCGGGCGUAGUAGAUUUUAUCUCGCUCAGGGCGUGCUGCGGGUUCCGGCCGUUAAAAAGUCUUUUUUACCCAAGGUUGACCUCGGAUCAGGUAGGAAGACCCGCUGAACUUAAGCAUAUCAAUAAGCGGAGGA
rnacentral:misc_RNA from 1 species